UACAGAGGGGGCAAGCGUUGUUCGGAAUCAUUGGGCGUAAAGGGCGCGUAGGCGGCCAUCCAAGUCGGAUGUGAAAUCCCUCGGCUCAACCGAGGAACUGCACUCGAUACUGGUUGGCUCGAGUCCGGGAGGGGAUGGUGGAAUUCCCAGUGUAGCGGUGAAAUGCGUAGAUAUUGGGAAGAACACCGGUGGCGAAGGCGACCAUCUGGACCGGAACUGACGCUGAGGCGCGAAAGCCAGGGGAGCGAAUGGG
rnacentral:rRNA from 1 species